rnacentral:lncRNA from 1 species
AAAACUUUGCUCUCUUCAUUAGUAGUGUAGUGUAUGCUCUUCUCAAAUACUACUUCCUUGGCCAUAGCUGCCAACACAUUAGUAACCUUGAAAGAAUUUUUUAAUAAGGUCAUAAAUUCAAAUCCCUAUUUGAAUGAGGGUGUUAUAAAGGUGGAAGCAAUAUAUGCAAUCUCAUUUUUAUGUACUGAUAUGCUGUUGUAGAAAAAACCAGCCAAAAUAAAUACCUUUAGGAAAAUAUUUCUUUACCUUUGUGAAAGACAAGCAAUAUCCUCGAAAGAAGUGAGGCUCACCUAUAAAAAAAUAGAACAAACAUAAUCACAAAACUUUAUUUCAAACGAAGUAACAUAAGUAGAUGGUUUAUGGCCUGAUGCUUUGUUCAUAUAUAAUAAUAUGUACCUAUAAACUGUUUUUCGUAAUCCCAUGUUUACAUGGUCUAUUUGCAAAAAAGUAAAUGUUAGUAAAUUGCAAAUUCUGAUAAUUAUGAAGUAAAAAGGACAUCACUAAAAUUAUGAAGUUAGUAAUUUAAGAGGGUAUUACUAAAGACAAUUUUCAUGAAAGAAAUGAGUUUCUUGAAAAACUGAUCUCUUUACCUUUGAAACUCAGAAGCAAGAUCAUCGAACCAAGAUCAUUGAACGAAGUGAGCCUCACCUAAAAAAAGAGCAAACAUAAUGACAAAAUAUAAGUCUCAAUCAAAGCAAAUAAAUUGCAUUGAAAAAUAGUUCAUGGUCUCAAUCUUUGUUCAUAUAUAAGUCUCAAUAAAAGCAAAUAAAUUGCAUUGAAAAAUAAUUCAUGGUCUCAAUCUUUGUUCAUAUAUUCAUACCUCACAAAAAGUUUGAUUGUGUAUGAGAUCUAAUCAAAUGAGUUUUCUAUUUUCAGGCUCAAGAAAUCAUCAAUCAUCAUUGCAAAAAAUAAAGACAAAGGAAAUCAAGAUUUGCUGCCUAGUUAUUGUUGAAGAAAUGGAAAUCAAGAAAAAUGAAAGAAAAUAGAAAAAUUUGUAUUUAUAGACAGUUUUGAUGUGUAAAAAUAAUGGGCAAUCCUUUGAUAUUUAUAGACAAAGGUUUGAACAUAAAAAUAUAAGUGUAGGUGUAAAGUUUGUGUGCACUCCAAGUUUGUGUACAUUCAAUUAUUGUAUAGGCUCCUACAAAAUGACAAAAUUUGCAACAAAGACAAAAAAAUAAACAUUAAAUUAUAGAAAAUACUUGGCCCACCAUUUUAACUGGGCAGCUGUCAAAACCGAUUAAAAAAUUGGAAAAAAUGCAACCCACCAUUUUGGUAAAUCUACAGUGGAAAAUUUUAGACACUUAUUGUCAAGAUUAU